GAGAAUCAUAAGAACAUUGCAACGCAACGCCUGGUUUUCUCCUUCUACCACCUGUUCUCUUGUUAGUAGGGCUAAGUAGAGGAAAGGCAACAGUGUGGUCCAUGAUCUGACCGUUCCAAGAUUAGCACAAUUGUACCUAGAAAAUUUACUAAUCCAGCUGGCUGGCAUCUUCCCAUUUAUAUACAUAGAUGCUACACACGUGCCAUACAUGUGAGGCUAAGCAUGGAUAACUGUGCUUGCAUUUAUGUCUAUGAUCUCGCUCUCAAACUUUUUGUUGCUCCGCUCGUUCUCUCUCUCUCUCUCUCUCACUCUUUGUGUGUGUCAAUAAAUGUGUGUAUCUGCUAUAAUGGAUAAUUUAUAUAUUUUUAGCAUUAAUAUAUCUAAUAAAAUUAAAAAAAUAAUAAAUUUUGAAGUGCUCUGCACCAUCCAUCGCUAUAGCGAGACAUGCUUUUGCAAUUCACAUGAUUGAAGGCACAAAACGGCUCUUUUCCUCCCAAAGUAAUCUCUAUAGGCUAUGAUUAGUCCAAGCCAUGUAACUGUUAGUUAUAUUAGACACCAAGCCACUCACAAACGAGCCUUAAACGUGAUAAACUGCACCCACCCUUCUCGUUUCUAUCUGAAGACUGGAGCUUUAUGUAGGUGCAGAACAUGCUUCACCCUUGGUUGGGAAACCGGAUGGGCGUUUCUUGGAAUCCUAGGCCCACCCAUCACUUACUGCGCUUUAAUUACCCCACCUUUUGCGAACACCGCUUCCUAGUCCUCCCUCCCCUCU
rnacentral:lncRNA from 1 species